AGCCUGAUCCAGCAAUGCCGCGUGCAGGAAGAAGGCCUUCGGGUUGUAAACUGCUUUUGUACGGAACGAAACGGUGCUCUUUAAUAAAGAGUGCUAAUGACGGUACCGUAAGAAUAAGCACCGGCUAACUACGUGCCAGCAGCCGCGGUAAUACGUAGGGUGCGAGCGUUAAUCGGAAUUACUGGGCGUAAAGCGUGCGCAGGCGGUUAUAUAAGACAGUUGUGAAAUCCCUGGGCUCAACCUAGGAAUUGCAUCUGUGACUGUAUAGCUAGAGUACGGUAGAGGGGGAUGGAAUUCCGCGUGUAGCAGUGAAAUGCGUAGAUAUGCGGAGGAACACCGAUGGCGAAGGCAAUCCCCUGGACCUGUACUGACGCUCAUGCACGAAAGCGUGGGGAGCAAACAGGAUUAGAUACCCUGGUAGUCCACGCCCUAAACGAUGUCAACUGGUUGUUGGGUGCAUUAGUACUCAGUAACGAAGCUAACGCGUGAAGUUGACCGCCUGGGGAGUACGGCCGCAAGGUUGAAACUCAAAUGGAAUUGACGG
rnacentral:rRNA from 1 species